GUUGUGCAGGUGCAGUUGCAGUAUAUGUUAAUGAUGAUCAAUUUUUUUUUGUAGGAAGUACCAUAUAAAGAUCAGAUUAUAAAAGAUACAGUUGGAGAAGUAAUGAAGAUGUUCAAGGAACAACUCCCUCCUGAAACUUUUGCUAAUUUGACUCGAUCACUCGGCGACGUGUCAUCUGAUUUAGAAAUCACGGAGCAUCCUUCUAAAGAUACGAAUGAACAAGAGCUUCAACAUGAUGAUGGAAAUAAUGGCGGAUUAGAGUAGCAAGCAUGCAUGAUACAUCGAGAAGCAUGCGUACAUGGAUAAUGGAAUUGAAGAAUAAUGAAAGAAUGACCUUAAGAUUGAUUUAGGUUUAUUCAAGGAGAGAUGUAUAUAUUAUGAUUUUAUGAUUUAAUUUUCAAAUUAACUAUUUAUAUUUUGGAUGCAAUAGUAUGUUUUCGAUUGAGUAUACUCUUUGGCUCAUUUUUUACAAUGGUCGUUGAGUAUUUCUACUCAUUUAUAUCAAUAAUAUCAUUUUAUUUCCUCUUCAA